ACCUACGGGGGGCAGCAGUAGGGAAUUUUCGUCAAUGGGCGCAAGCCUGAACGAGCAAUGCCGCGUGAACGAGGAAGGUCUUCGGAUCGUAAAGUUCUGUUGUAGGGGAAAAAGAGCGGAGAGAGGAAAUGAACUCCGAUUGAUAUUACCCUUCGAGGAAGUCACGGCUAACUACGUGCCAGCAGCCGCGGUAAUACGUAGGAGGCGAGCGUUAUCCGGAAUGAUUGGGCGUAAAGGGUGCGUAGGCGGCCUGCUAAGUCUGGAGUGAAAGGUAGCGGCUCAACCGGUACAGGCUCUGGAAACUG
rnacentral:rRNA from 1 species